ensembl:lncRNA novel transcript, antisense to ZNF473
GUAUUUUGCGAUUGAUCCACAGGAAAUAGACGCAGCUGCGUGGAUCGCCUUCUCCACCCCACAUACUGAAGCCAGAAUAAGCCACGACUUCGUGUGCUCCACGCGAGGGCCGCCUGACGCCAGAGUUUCUCCCGCAUCUGCCAUCAGAGGACCGUCGCCCUCAGGAGCCCGAGCUCCCGCGGCUUCUCCGAAAUUGGAGUUCCAGAAGCCAUCCUUGGAUAACAUCUCUAUAAUCUCCUGGGAGAAUCCUUCUUCGAAGAAAUCCUCCAUCAGAGGAGAGUUCUUGGUCUCAGUCACAUCUGAAAGAGCAAGUGCAAAUGUCUCCUGUUCACUAAGGACUGAGUCUUGCCCUGUUGCCCAGGCUGAAGUGCUGCACGAUCUCAGCUCAACGCAACCUCUGCCUCCUGGGUUCAAGUGAUUCUCCUGCCUCAGCCUCCCGAGUAGCUGGGACUGCAGGUGCCCUCCACCACGCCCAGCUAAUUUUUGUAUUUUUAGUAGAGACAGAGUUUCAGCAUGUUGGCCAGGCUGGUCUCGAACUCCUGACCUCAAGUGACCGGCCUGCCUCGCCCU